GAAGUAAAAGUCGUAACAAGGUCUCCGUAGGUGAACCUGCGGAGGGAUCAUUACACAAAUAUGAAGGCGGGCUGGAACCUCUCGGGGUUACAGCCUUGCUGAAUUAUUCACCCUUGUCUUUUGCGUACUUCUUGUUUCCUUGGUGGGUUCGCCCACCACUAGGACAAACAUAAACCUUUUGUAAUUGCAAUCAGCGUCAGUAACAAAUUAAUAAUUACAACUUUCAACAACGGAUCUCUUGGUUCUGGCAUCGAUGAAGAACGCAGCGAAAUGCGAUAAGUAGUGUGAAUUGCAGAAUUCAGUGAAUCAUCGAAUCUUUGAACGCACAUUGCGCCCUUUGGUAUUCCAAAGGGCAUGCCUGUUCGAGCGUCAUUUGUACCCUCAAGCUUUGCUUGGUGUUGGGCGUCUUGUCUCUAGCUUUGCUGGAGACUCGCCUUAAAGUAAUUGGCAGCCGGCCUACUGGUUUCGGAGCGCAGCACAAGUCGCACUCUCUAUCAGCAAAGGUCUAGCAUCCAUUAAGCCUUUUUUCAACUUUUGACCUCGGAUCAGGUAGGGAUACCCGCUGAACUUAAGCA
rnacentral:rRNA from 1 species